CUAAUGAUGUGUUAAUUUUGAUAAUCUUUUCAAAAGCCUGACUUUGUUUUGUUGAUCUUUUGUAUUCUUUUUUAGUCUCUAUUUCAUUUAGUUCUGCUAUCAUCUUUAUUAUUUCUUUCCUGCUACUAAUCUUGGGUUUGUUUUGCUCUUGCUUUCCUAUGUCCCUCGAAGUUCAAUGUUAGAUUAUUUAUUUGAAAUACUUAUCUUUUUUGUUGUAGAUAUUUGUUGCUGUGGGCGGCAAGCCACCCAGGUGCUGAGGCAAGAGAUCAAGGGCACGAGCUGUUCCAGUAUAAUAAAAUAUAUAAAAUAAGAAUAGUUAUACUAGAUAUAGACAAUAGAUAUGAUUAUAUAUGAAUAUCAUUAAUCAUUAGUUUGUAGCAAUUGCUCUUUACUCCAAUAUUAAAAUAAUCCUUGCCCUACAAUCAUAACCUAGGAAAAACCAGGUCAUACAGAGACAGGAGCUGAGGGGACAUAGUGAGAAGUAACCAAAAGAUAAGUGUGAGCCGUCUGUUAUGCCCGGGCAGGGCCACCAGAGGGCUCCUUGAUCUAGUGGUAAUGCCAGCAUCUGGGAAGACGCCCGUUGCCAAGCGGACCAUGGUCUAGAGAUAGCGUCAGUGUCAAGGAAAAACACCUGCUACUUAGCAGACCGGGAAAGGGAGUCUCCCUUUCCCCGGGGGAGUUUAGAGAAGACUACUCCUCCACCACUUGUGGAAGGCCUGACAUCAGUCAGGCCUGCCCGCAGUUAUCCGGAGGCCUAACCGUCUCCCUGUGAUGCUGUGCUUCAGUGGUCACACUCCUAGUCCACCUCCAUGUUCCAUCCUGUACACCUGGCUCUGCCUUUUAGAUAACAGUAGCAAAUUACUAAAAGUACUAAAAGUCACUGAUAUGCAGAAAUAAUGGUGUAAGCUCUCUCUCUCUGCUCUUUCUCUCUGCCUCAGCUGCCAGGCAGGGAAGGGCCCCCUGUCCAGUGGACACAUGACCCACAUGACCUUACUAUCAUUGGAGAUGACUCAUACUCCUUACCCUGCCCCUUUGUCUUGUAUCCAAUAAACAUCAGUGCAGUCUGGCGUUCAGGGCCACUACCAGUCUCCGCGUCUUGGUGGCAGGGGUCCCCUGGGCCCAGCUGUCCUUUCUUUUAUCUCUUUGUCUUCUGUCUUUAUUUCCACAACCUCUCAUCCCUGCACAAGGGGAGAACAACCCACCAACCCUGUGGGGCUGGACCCUGCAUGUUGCCAUAAACUUCCUUCUGAGUACAGCUUUUGCUGUAUUCCAUAGGUUUUGGUGCCGAGACUUUCUUAUAGUCAGCAUAUAGACACAGGACCCACAGAAUCAGCAAUGCAUGCAAAGCACACCAUUGAUGCCAAAGCCGGUUUUCUCCAGGACUGCAAAGUUGCAUUUAGAAAAAAGUUAACACUAGAAAAUCAGUCACUGUAAUUUGCCACACUGAAACGCUAAGGGAGAACAAUCAUAUUGUCAUCUGAAGAGAUGUAAAAAUUAUACUAUACAAUUCAGGAUCCGUUUCUGAUAAUAAAGUGUUUGCAAACUAGAAAUAGGAGGGAACUUCCUUAAUCUGAUAACAAGAGCAUAGAAACGCAGCUCACAGCAGCGUCCCCGUCCCAGCUCUCACCGCCCCACCCGUGGCCCACUUUGCCCUGGGGGCCAAACCCAGUGCAGAAAGAUGAAAAGCAAAAGGCACGAUGCUUGGAGAAUGAAAGUGAAGACCAGCAGGACUCACGGACACGCCGCUGGGAAUGCCAAGACCCACGGGAACCGCAGAUCACUUAGCCACACAGGAAAGUUUAGCGAGUUUACUGAACAUAGACAAAAGUCACUUGUUUUUCUAUAUACAAGCAAUGAACAGAAAAUGACUUUUUAAAAAUAGCUACCACUUACAAAGGCAACAAAACUACCAACGAUCUAGGAAUUAAUCUAGUGAAAGACGUGGAAGGCGUUAAUGCAGAAAGCUGAGAGGCGUCACAGGAAGAUCUAAGUAAACGCGGAAACGCACCACGUUUCUGGGUUGGAAGCUUUCCUGUUGCAAAGAUGGGAAAUUUCCCCCAAAGUAAACUCUGGGAGGGAGACAGGACUUGACGAACUGACUUCAGAUUUCCCUGGAAACCCAGCCCACAGCGCAGGGCGGAGAAGGCUGUGGGUUUCCCAGCCAGGCGGCCGCGGGUUCUCCCUGGGCGGUGCUGAGGAGUGGGGGCGUCCGGGGGCUCCUCCCUGCCAGCCCGGCGUGGGGGGCAGGGGACCGCGUGGAUGGGACCCCAAACGCGCACGGACACAGCCAGGAGGCUGCCCGGGGGCGCCGGGCCCAGGACGUGCGGAUGCGGGCGCUGCGCGAGGCGGGGUCCCCGGGGCGGGGAGGGGGUGAGGGUCGCUGAGGCGGUGGCGCCCCCGUCUUGGGCUCUCAGUGAGGCGGACCCGGAGCCCUGGGAGAGACCCCGAGAAACGGGCGGGACCUGGAGUCUGCACCCGCCCGAGGCAGGGGGCGCGGUGGGGCUGCAGGGCUGGGUGGGCGGCGCCGCCACGCGGUGCGCUGCGUCCAGGAAGAGCCUCCGGCGCGUGCACAGGCCUCAGCCCGGGGCCUCCAGGCGGGGGGCUCUGCCUGUGGGUGGGUGGUCGGCCCGGAAGCUGCCCCGGGAGAAGGGGCCGCGCCAGGGCAGGGCUGGCGGGACUGGGCAGGGCCAGAGCCGCGAGUCUGCGGUGUUCGUGCCCUCAGGGGUCCUGGCCGCCCCGGCAAAGCCUCCUGGUGGGCACCGCAGGGUGGAGCCGGGCUGUGCCGCGCACACAGACCCAGUAAAGCUCCCGGGCUGCCCCCAGCACAAAACUAGAGGAGAUGAGAAUGGCACCUUCACCGAUGGACACCCAGCCUCCGCUCUCCCCUAACCCACAGCCCCGGCCUUUGGAGCCCCGGCUCGGUCCCGACGCACCCCAAUGCCCACCUCCAGCCCUGGCCCCCGCUCCACACGCCUGUGUCCACGCCUCUGCCCAACUGUUCCUCCAUCUCUGAACUUGCACCCCAAAACCUUACUUCCGACUUCCCCCAGCCCCCAAAACCACGCUGACCCCAGAACCUUCUGCUUUUCCCUGUUCCACACCCACAUCCGAUCCAUCAGCAAAUCCAUCGGACUGCACCCCGGCAGCGUCUGCAUGAUUUCAGCCGCAAGGGCUGCCCCCAACUGGGCCCUGCCCCACGCAUGCUCCUCCAGCGUCCACAGGUCGAGGGGGAUCCAUGAAAGCAAAGUCAUAUCAGUCCCCACUCUGCUCACCACCCCGCAGCCGCUCAGUCGGUGACAGUCAAGGACACACCACAGGCCUGUGUGCCGCCCCCCACCGCUGAGCUCAGCCCUUCCUGCCCACUGCUGGGUCCCCCACCACGCAGGGCCCAUGCCCACCUUCGCCUCUGCAGGAGCCGUCCCCUUUCCCAGCACUCUCUUCCCUCACCCCUCCAGGGUGGAACCUGGCCUUGGGUCUUCUGUCCAAGCAGUGGCCCUGAUCCCACUCCUUUUCGUGCCUGCCUCUCCGUGCCACGCUCCACCCCCACGUGCGGCAGAGUUGACCGCCAUUAGCUGUUGUCUGUCCCCCUCCAACACCUGAUCCCCCAGGCAAAAACUCAUCCGUCCACUGCUGAGUCGGGAGCCAGUGCAGAGACCCAGGAAGGGCCCGCUGACAUGGCUGAAAGUGAAUAGAUGGGACAUUUAUGAAUGUGGCUUUGGGGCACGAGAACACAGAGCCAUACAUCUGCCUCCAGCAGCCCUGGAGGUCUGUGGCCUGCGUGGAUCAGGACCCCAGGCCAGGCUGUAUGGACUGAUCUGCUGUCCCCAGGGCCAACAAAGUCCCUUCUCCAAGCACACACAGAAGGCGGGGUCCAAAGACCCCUCAGUGGGUCCUGGGCACCUUCUCCUCACCUCCCACUGCCCUCUGCCAGCUUGAGCUGUCCAGCCUGGACCGCCCCUCUGUGGGGCAUCAGCCAGGCUCAGCCAACCAGGCGGGGAGCAGUCAGAGGACCUUGGUGUCCAGGGAGAGGGCUCUGUCCCAGGGCCCUGGUCCUCACGGGUCUAGGUGACGAGGGCAGAGGGUUCAGGUGCCUUUGCCUUAAUAGCCCAUGAAAAGGUUUCCUCAAUUAACCCUGUGCCCCUCACAGUGGACUGGCCAGAGAUCAGGAGGUGAGGGACAGACAGUGAGUCAAACUCCAAUCUUAGCCCCGAAUGCUCUGAGCAGGUAGGCGGAGUCCACCUGUGGGAGGCCCUGGGGGAC